rnacentral:rRNA from 1 species
UAGGGAAUCUUCCGCAAUGGGCGAAAGCCUGACGGAGCAACGCCGCGUGAGUGAUGAAGGUCUUCGGAUCGUAAAACUCUGUUAUUAGGGAAGAACAAAUGUGUAAGUAACUAUGCACGUCUUGACGGUACGUAAUCAGAAAGCCACGGCUAACUACGUGCCAGCAGCCGCGGUAAUACGUAGGUGGCAAGCGUUAUCCGGAAUUAUUGGGCGUAAAGCGCGCGUAGGCGGUUUUUUAAGUCUGAUGUGAAAGCCCACGGCUCAACCGUGGAGGGUCAUUGGAAACUGGAAAACUUGAGUGCAGAAGAGGAAAGUGGAAUUCCAUGUGUAGCGGUGAAAUGCGCAGAGAUAUGGAGGAACACCAGUGGCGAAGGCGACUUUCUGGUCUGUAACUGACGCUGAUGUGCGAAAGCGUGGGGAUCAAACAGG